AUCUCCCAGCAGGAACACACUGAGUGUUUUCAGUAGUGCAUUAACGUUGAGACUGCUUUCUGAGUGAACAAUGAACUGGUGAAAACCCUGGACCCUCCUGUCUCCAGUAUGCGUCCUCUGAAAGGAAAAUUUGCACACCUUGUCUGCCCGAGCAUCCGCUUAAUAACGUGACCCUGAGAACCACUUUUCACUACCUGUUAAGACAGCAGAGCUCUUCUGACUGCUUUCCAAAGCAAAGAUGAAGUAUCCCACAAAAGGACCUAAUUUGAAAGAGGCUGCAGUUCAGCGGCAGGAGGGAUUUAAACACUGUUAAGACUGACAUUUUCCCUCAUCUCACAUCCCGUGGGGUACCUGAUUGCAAAUUUAUAAUACACCAGAGGUCUUGCCAUCCAAAGAUACAGACUUACAGUAACAGCAACUAAUUUAAAAAAGAUCUCCAGCGCAUCAGUGUCUGGGGCUGGUUUACACAGACUAAUUAAUCCUUAUUUGACCUGAAUUAACUCUUAAUCUGUGUGAAAUGAAAGAGCUUUACUGGGAUACAGCAAAUUUUCGAAGAUGGAAAAUCCUUUCAGAACAGGAGGUUUCUGCAGCUGGGUGACAUGUGGAUUAAAAUACUUGUUGGCUGCUGCUGUGGAGAAUUAGCUCUUUCGUUUUCUUUCUAUUCCCACCCUGCUUUUGCUAACCAGAAAAUACAGAAGAGAGGCAGAUGAUUUUCAGCCACCAGCAAUUGCUGUCCCUUGGUAACUGAUGCAGGAGGAGAGAAGA